GAUUCGGUAGCUCAGUUGGUAGAGCACCUGACUUUUAAUCAGGUGGUCCUGGGUUCGACCCCCAGCCGAAUCACCA
rnacentral:tRNA from 2 species